rnacentral:rRNA from 1 species
UACGUAGGGGCUAGCGUUGUCCGGAAUCAUUGGGCGUAAAGCGCGUGUAGGCGGUCCGGUAAGUCCGCUGUGAAAGUCGAGGGCUCAACCCUCGAAUGCCGGUGGAUACUGUCGGGCUAGAGUACGGAAGAGGCGAGUGGAAUUCCUGGUGUAGCGGUGAAAUGCGCAGAUAUCGGGAAGAACACCCGUGGCGAAGGCGGCUUCUGGGACGGUACUGAGCUGAGACGCGAAAGCGUGGGGAGCAAACGGG